rnacentral:rRNA from 1 species
CGAUAAUGACGGUACCUAACAAGAAAGCACCGGCUAACUACGUGCCAGCAGCCGCGGUAAAACGUAGGGUGCAAGCGUUGUCCGGAAUUACUGGGUGUAAAGGGAGCGCAGGCGGGAAGACAAGUUGGAAGUGAAAACCAUGGGCUCAACCCAUGAAUUGCUUUCAAAACUGUUUUUCUUGAGUAGUGCAGAGGUAGAUGGAAUUCCCGGUGUAGCGGUGGAAUGCGUAGAUAUCGGGAGGAACACCAGUGGCGAAGGCGGUCUACUGGGCACCAACUGACGCUGAGGCUCGAAAGCAUGGGUAGCAAACAGGAUUAGAUACCCUGGUAGUCCAUGCCGUAAACGAUGAUUACUAGGUGUUGGGGGAUUGACCCCCUCAGUGCCGCAGUUAACACAAUAAGUAAUCCACCUGGGGAGUACGACCGCAAGGUUGAAACUCAAAGGAAUUGACGGGGGCCCGCACAAGCAGUGGAGUAUGUGGUUUAAUUCGAAGCAACGCGAAGAACCUUACCAGGUCUUGACAUCCGAUGCAUAGCACAGAGAUGUGUGAAAUCCUUCGGGACAUCGAGACAGGUGGUGCAUGGUUGUCGUCAGCUCGUGUCGUGAGAUGUUGGGUUAAGUCCCGCAACGAGCGCAACCCUUAUUGCCAGUUACUACGUUAAGAGGACUCUGGCGAGACUGCCGUUGACAAAACGGAGGAAGGUGGGGAUGACGUCAAAUCAUCAUGCCCUUUAUGACCUGGGCUACACACGUACUACAAUGGCGUUAAACAAAGAGAAGCAAGACCGCGAGGUGGAGCAAAACUCAAAAACAACGUCUCAGUUCAGAUUGCAGGCUGCAACUCGCCUGCAUGAAGUCGGAAUUGCUAGUAAUCGCGGAUCAGCAUGCCGCGGUGAAUACGUUCCCGGGCCUUGUACACACCGCCCGUCACACCAUGAGAGCCGGGGGGACCCGAAGUCGAUAGUCUAACCGCAAGGAGGACGUCGCCGAAGGUAAAACUGGUGAUUGGGGUGAAGUCGUAACAAGGUAGCCGUA